GUGGGCAUCUUUGUACCCCUAAUUCUACUCCAGAGACUUGUCCAUUUUUACCUCUCGUCUCACUCUUUUCUUUCUUCUUCGAGGUUCCGGGCACUUGCCCCUUUUUAUUUCCUCGCAUAUUUUUGCAUAACCCAUGCCUCUUCUGCAUUGAAUCUUUAGAGAGAGAGAAUAACAACACUUGGGACAGUGAGUGAUAAUAUUUUUAGCAAUUUUAAUGAAUGGUGGUGAAUGGUGUAGUAGAUGUGUGCCAGCGAAUAUUUUAAUUUAACCACAUGAAAAGCUCCUAAGGGUCUAAACAGCUCGAUCAAACUCAAUGUGAAUAUAGUGAAAGAUGUUAUAGCAAGUAUGGCUAUGGUAGGAAGUUUGUUAUGCUAGGAACUCAUCAUGUGAUUUAUGAGUUUUCAAAUUAAAUCUCCAGAACUUAGUGUAGUAGGAACAAGAUAAAUAGUAGCUCAAACUUUAUAUCAUGCCUUUCUCUUACCUAGACUUUAGUUUUAUGUUUCCCAUAGAAAGUAAAUUUUAGUUUUAGUAAUUCCUAGAAGAACUCUAAUUAAAAGCUAGGUACUUGAAAGUAAGCAAACAAAGCAACUGUUCAUCAUUUCCAUCAAGCAUCUUUUUGGUCUUUUUAUUUUUUCUAGAGAUUAACACUUGGCAGAUAAAUAGGGCAUACUUUUCUACACACUCUUUUUAUUUUUUUUUCACGUUUAUAGAACGCAGUAAAUUAAAGCAAGAAAAUAUUUAUUGGGUUUUCUAAGUUUUUCUCUUUAAGAUAAAAUACUAAAAGAAUAAAUACGAAAGGCAAAUAAAAACUUACUUGAUAAAAUGGGGAGGAACUCCCCCAAGCUGGAUGUGGUUGUCGGUCUUGCCCAAUGUUCCAGAAUCGCAUCAUGGUGGUGAUGUUGUCGUUCAUUGUUGUGGUGUCUUGUCUCAGUUCUUGUACUGCAGUGGCGUGGUCCUAGUUCCAUUUUUGUUGUUGUUCCAGGAGUCGUCCAUGCUUUGCUUGCGUAUUCUGGAUGUUGAGGAGGGUGUUGUCGGUACGGGUGAAGAAAGCGUCGGCCUCUUGGUAGUAGUCGUUCAUGAAAGCAUAAGCGGCGUUGGAAUAUCGUCCUGCAUCAAAUUGGGGCGGAGGUCUGGAUCCUAAAGCUCCAUAUGGAUCUGUGGAGU
rnacentral:lncRNA from 1 species